UACGGAGGGUGCAAGCGUUAAUCGGAAUUACUGGGCGUAAAGCGCACGCAGGCGGUUUGUUAAGUCAGAUGUGAAAUCCCCGGGCUCAACCUGGGAACUGCAUUCGAAACUGGCAGGCUUGAGUCUUGUAGAGGGGGGUAGAAUUCCAGGUGUAGCGGUGAAAUGCGUAGAGAUCUGGAGGAAUACCGGUGGCGAAGGCGGCCCCCUGGACAAAGACUGACGCUCAGGUGCGAAAGCGUGGGGAGCAAACAGG
rnacentral:rRNA from 1 species